AUGCACGCUGGCGGCGUGCCUAAUACAUGCCAGUCGCGCGAACAGACGAGGAGCUUGCUCCUCUGACGUUAGCGGCGGACGGGUGAGUAACACGUGGAUAACCUACCUAUAAGACUGGGAUAACUUCGGGAAACCGGAGCUAAUACCGGAUAAUAUAUUGAACCGCAUGGUUCAAUAGUGAAAGACGGUUUUGCUGUCACUUAUAGAUGGAUCCGCGCCGCAUUAGCUAGUUGGUAAGGUAACGGCUUACCAAGGCAACGAUGCGUAGCCGACCUGAGAGGGUGAUCGGCCACACUGGAGCUGAGACACGGUCCAGACUCCUACGGGAGGCAGCAGUAGGGAAUCUUCCGCAAUGGGCGAAAGCCUGACGGAGCAACGCCGCGUGAGUGAUGAAGGUCUUCGGAUCGUAAAACUCUGUUAUUAGGGAAGAACAAAUGUGUAAGUAACUAUGCACGUCUUGACGGUACCUAAUCAGAAAGCCACGGCUAACUACGUG
rnacentral:rRNA from 1 species